UAGGAAGAUGGUGCAAUGGUAGCACAUCGGUCUCCGAAGCCGAAAAUGGGAGUUCAAUCCUCCCUCUUCCUGA
rnacentral:tRNA from 1 species